CAUUAUUGAAUACGAUUGGUACUGAUGCUGGCUCUUAACAGGGCAUGUGCUCGUGCCGUCUAUUUAUCUUCUCUUGUGCACAUUUUGUAGUCAGUGAAUUGGAAACUAUGCGUGCUUUCAUUAGUACGGUCUGGAGGCUGAUUAAACCCUGCUUCUGUUCCUCUGCGCACUCUUUACUGAGUUGCGGUCUGGGAGUUGUUAACCCUUCUCCUGCUUCACUGACUAUGUUUUCAUAUACCUUAUAAAGUCAUAGAAUGUCAUUUAACUUGAUUGCGCUCGUCGUAGUCGUUAAACCUAUACAACUUUCAGCAACGGAUCUCUUGGCUCUCCUAUCGAUGAAGAACGCAGCGAAAUGCGAUAAGUAAUGUGAAUUGCAGAAUUCAGUGAAUCAUCGAAUCUUUGAACGCACCUUGCGCCCUUUGGUAUUCCGAAGGGCAUGCCUGUUUGAGUGUCAUUAAAUUAUCAACCUUAGCUUGCUUUAUUGCGAGCUUAAGGCUUGGAUGUGAGGGCUGCUGGCUUCCUUCAGUGGAUGGUCUGCUCCCUUUAAAUGCAUUAGUGGGAUUCUCUUUGUGGACCGUCACUUGGUGUGAUAAUUAUCUACGCCGCUUGACUUGCAGAGAUUGAGACCUGCUCAUAACCGUCCAUUGACUUGGACAAUUUACUUGACAAUUUGACCUCAAAUCAG
rnacentral:rRNA from 1 species